CUCCGAGCAGCGAUCUCUGGCCCUAGCCUAAGCUACCAGAGCGGAGCCGAGACUGUACCGGGAGGACAGCAGUCGGGCAGCCUCUUUUCCUGCAUUGCAUUGCAAAGGGGGUGGGGGAGAAUUGCAACAGAAGAGCCCGUUUUCCAGCGUUGCAAAGGGGGAGGGAUGCCGCGGGGGGGCGUUUUCCUGCAUUGCUCGCGCGUGGUGUGCUUGAGAGAGACCGCGAGAAAGACAAGGGGACUGGCCGCCCGUUUUCCUGCAUUGCAACGGGGGGAGGGAUUGCAGCCGGGGAGCCGGUUUUCCUGCAUUGCACAGGCUCUGGACCAUCUGCCGGAAAUCCAGGCGUGGAACCUUCCAAAUGAGGACUGGGGAGAGCAGUUGGGGGAUUCAUUUUUGGGCCCUGCAGUCGGGCGGGACAAGGGCUCAGGGACAGAGUUGUGGCUGGCAGAUCAGAGGAGUGUGUAG
rnacentral:lncRNA from 1 species